UUUAUAUUAAAUUUGAAACGAAAAUGUGGAGGCUUGAAAGAAGAAUUGAAAAACACGCAAGAUAUUCAAAGUAUAGUACGCACGAUAUAUAGUUAUAAUAUUUAAACAAAAUAAAUUUUACAAAUUCCAAUUAUUCAACGUGUAUUGUGAGUUUGCAUCAAUAAUACAAUUAAUAUGAUAAGUAGUGAAAAACUGUAUGCUUACAAAACACGUAUUAUCGAUAUAUAUAUAUAUAUAUUUAUUUCUUACGACAAAGAAAAGAAAGGAAAUGGCAAUUGAUCGCGGACGAAAACAGUUGUUGCAACGCAUUUUUCUUUCAUUUAAUCGCAGUUCUCGCGUACGAUCGACCACACAACGACACUGUGCGGCUUCUUGCGGGUUCUAUCGUAUAUAAGAUCGAAGCACUCGCGAUGAUUGGUGGACGUGUGUGCCGUUAUAAAAUCGAACGACUCGCGGUUAUUGGCGAUGUAACCGAUUAUUGAAUUCCACGAAAUGAAACUCUACGUCGGCGCGCACACGAGUCGUGUUGACCAUUGGGACCGCCAUUCCGUAUAUCGCGAUUGCUCGUUUCCGGGAUCGAUUGUUCUGGGGGUUUGGGGGAUUCCGUGGUUUCAUUCUAUCCGAUAUAAAAUAAAAAAAAAAAGAAAAACGUUUUUGAAAAUUCGCGAAUCGAACAGAAGAAGUUCAAUCUUUAUUUGACUCGUGCGCGUUUUUCUAUCAACGUGAAAAAAAAUUCGUUCUCGUGGCAUUUGUCGUUUCAAAAGAAUCGUUACGAAAGGA